GUUGAAUCUGGCCAUACUAUAUUAUAAAUGCAAUAUGUUUGAGCAUGGGACAUGAAGUAACCUGCAGUCUGAAUGGCAAUAUGUCUAAUUUCAAAAUAGAUCAAAUUUACAGAUCAUGAUGGGUGCCAGUGGCAAGUGGCUGGCUUGGGUGGCAGCUGCAGGUCAAAUAUGGAUGAUGUUCUGCGAAUCCGUGUUCCUUCUGCUGCUGGUGUUGAUGUCACGAGGCUGAUCGGAGACGGCUGCCACAGUUUUGUGCUGAGGACGAGAUGCUGGCGUACCUGAGCAAGUUUGGGUGCGCCUUCAGCAGCAAGCGGUGCGCCUUCAGCGACGUGCGUCGCUUCCUGCUGUUGCUUCCCAGUGACAGCGUUGAGGCACCAAGCCCAAACUCAAGGAUUGCGUGAAUCUUGAUGACAAUGGAUCCUAUUGGUACUGGCGAGCCGAUGAUCCAGCCGUACAGAUGCGGCUCCCUGACGCGCAUUCCCGAGUUCAGAGAGCGGCUCGAGCGCUCGGUGCACUUCGGACAGCGCUGCCACCGUCGUCCUCAUCAACACUCGAGCCUUGUUCCUGGACCACGCGCAGCAGUUGGAGUGGAUUUUUCCUCGUACAUCGCGUGGUUGGAAGCCCUGCAGCCCGUUCUACAGAAGAAGAAACUUAAAUAAAGACGUUCAAG
rnacentral:lncRNA from 1 species